CCAACAGGGCAUUUUAUAAAGGCUUGAAGACAUUUCACCAGCUGAGAAUGAAGAUGAGCUGGAAGUUGGAGUUUAUUAUUCUUGGGGAAUUCAGAGUUUUGCAUUGACCAUGCACAACUGCAAUGGAGAAGUUGUAGGAGAGAAGCUGGAGACUGCAGCAGUGGGGAGGGCACCCAAGCUUUCAGCACCCAAGAAUGCACAACAGAGAGUCAAGACGGUGGCUCUUAUAGGACUUCAUCUGCCCAUUGAAGUCCGUGGAAGACAUUGACUUCCAUGAGUUUUGGAUCAGAUCCAUAUAGUGCUAAAACAGUUGGAUAUAAGAUGCUAAUUUGCAGCACUACAGAAAGACACAGUGUCACUUCAUUGACUUAAACGGAAUUACUUCUGAUUUACACCAAUGUAAAUGCAAUGAGGAUCAAGCCCUUCAAAUAUGGGUCAAAUCUCCUAGCACACAUUCUUCAGCAAGGUGGGUUGCAAUAUAAAACUGAAGAGCCAGCAAUGCGUUACCAGAUGUUCAAGAGCUACAUUAUGGUCCAUAUGUAACCAUAUAUUACAUAUCCAUUGUACUGGCUCAUAUGUGAUAGCGUAUCAUAAUACUGUUGGGGUGACUUACUCAGUAUGGUUUGGAUUUGAUGGUGUUGUCCAAAGAAAUGUUUAGCACAUCCCAUGUCUGCUGAUGUUCCAUAUUAAAGCCAAAUGUACUAACCAAACUACCCUACCAUGCAAAGCAGGUGAGCAUGUGAGAUUGUGGGCAACAGAACACUGAGAAUAUCACAGUGUCAGAAACUGCCAUACGAGCAUCACAAGUUACAGUAUGUGGUGUCUAGAUGCAGUACUGUGAUGACAAGCAAAUAACAAUUAAGAUACAUAGACAGAUGCCCAUUUUCUUAGCACCAGUUUUUUUCACCUAGUUUUGGAUGCUUUGUACUCUUUUAAUCUAAACACACACAUUUCCUCCCCACCCCCCGAAAUCUGUAUUUACUGUGUAAUAAUCCCAUCAAAUGUGUCAUGGGCAGGGCACAUGCACCAUUUUAAUCCAGCCACUGCACAUGUCUGAGAGAGAACGUCAGUAGUCUUUCCUGUGUAAUCUCUGUACCACCUGGCCCACAGCAGCAGCUGUAAACCAAAGACAAAAAAUCUGUGCUUUGCCCUCAAAAUAUAUUGCAGGGGGGCAAGCCAGGGAAGUAUUGUAACCCAUGCCUGCUUGGUGUGAUGCUCUGUCCCCCUCUAGUGGCACCUAGCCCAGCUAGUGAUUGAUGACUCUGCUACAGCCUUGGCUAAGAGAUCUGUUUCUUUUAGUUCAUGCAAUAGAGGCUCAAACACUAAGUUGCAGAGAUCCCACCCGCCGAUGACUGGGUGUGUGUGUGUCUGUCGGUGUUACGGUAACAGGAAACAUUUCUUCCCCCUCCGGACUUGCAAAUAGCCAGGUCAAAGUUACUUUGCAGCACACUGGCUUGAGGAGACAUAGAUGGGCUUUGCAUUCAGCUCCUGCCCACAAUGGUGCAAUAUUCCAUAACAUGGCCAGAGCAACUUUUAAUGUUUGAGUAAUGAACUACUAAAAAUAAAGUAGAAGCUCCUCAGCAGGUAUAAAAAUAAAUAAUAAUACUUUGCACUUGUGCAGUGCAGUGCUGUUUGUCUAAAUAAAGGUGAAGUGACUUGUUCGAGUUCAGUCAGCAAAUCAGUGUCAGCCUCAGGAACACAUCACAUGAUCUUUCCAGGUCUCUUUCCUAGCCACUUUAUCAUGCUCUCUCCUCUCUAAUGAUCAUGUACACAAAAAACAAAAUACUACAAUAGAGGAACCAAAGAUGAUGUUGCCAGAAAUUCCUCCCUCUUUGUGGAUAAUUGCUACCUCUUGUCCUAUAAUGACAAUAAUGUACAUUAAUGUACUAUUAGCGUCUUUCAUUUCAGAGUGUGCUUUAUACAGGAAUUACUUAACUCACCAUCACUGAAAUGCCACCAUAUCUCAGGUAAACAUGGUAACUCACUUUUAUUGUGUCACUGAAAAAUGGCACCGCAAGUAGAACAGGGCAGCUCAGCACCAUACUGGGGCAUUGGUUCAACAAUGUGUCAGAGGGAAGAGUGCUAUUCACUAGGUUAACUAACACCAUUUCUUAGAGGUGUCCCAUCAAAGUUGUUUUCAUGUCCAGCCCUGUUUUUAGUUUUAAGCCUUGACAUGGUAACAAUCUGCAGGCCAUUCAACUAUGUACUGAAACUGGAAUUUCAAAGUUGUUCCAGGGGAGUUAGAUGUCUAACUCCAUUUGGAUGGGUGGCAUUCCUAGUCUCCCAAGGCACUUUUGAAAAUCAAAGUCUAGCUGCCCUCAUAUGAAGUUGAGCAACUGGAGAGGAAAGACUUUCUCUCUCUCUCUAUGCAUAUAUAUAAGGUUUAUGAGACUAUCAUUGUAUUUUAUAUACAUAUAUUUUAGGAUAUGCAAUGAGUUUGUAAUGGUGCUCAUUGGAAUUACUAAUUCUUGACAUAGUGCUUUGGGAAUGAUGAUGAAAAAUAUAGUACAUAGUUAAGUACCAAUUUUGUGUAGCAUCAGAUGUAGCAAAAUAUGGAAUCUUCUCAUUGGUCACAAUUACAGUUUGUGAGAAUACCUACUGGUACUUACAUGAUUGUAGUUAUGCUUCAGGGUCAGUCAGAUAUUUACUGGCCUUCCAAAAGUCUAAACUCUACUCUAAAGGUGACUAAUAUAAUUUUAACUCACCACUUAGCUGAAACCAAUUACAUGAUACAUUAAUUUGUUUUCUAGCUUAAGUACGAGGCUUUCUCUUACUGGUGGAGGUGCAAGAAUUAGGCAUGAAAUAUGUCCUUAAAUAUGAGCAUUGUAUCAUCCAUUUGUCAUAGUGGCACCUUUUUUGGUAGUAUGGAUAAGGGAAGAAACUGGGAUGAAUCGUACUGUAUGUAGUUUGCACUAAAUCUGCCCACUUGUGAACUACUCAGCUUCAGAUCUGUGGACUUGCUAGUAUCCAUCUUUGGGAGGAAAGCAGUAGAGAGAGACUGCCUUAACUUUCAAAAUUUUAUCUCUAAGAACUGUUCCUUCAAGAAUUCUCCCCCCCCACUCCCCGCUUUAGAUUCCUGCAGGGGUUGUGGGGAUGAAGGGGCUUAGGAUAGAACUGCACUUCUAUUCAAAAAGGGUUGAGUUGCUUUAUGAGCAUGAUCCGCCAAUCCGUAAUCAAGGGUUAAUUUCACAGCUCACUGCUUCAUCUAGCAUAAUAUCCAUUCAGACUAAUUAAAUCUGUCUAAUAAUGUGAGUGUCUUUGUCUUUGUUCUUUCCAUUCUUUGUUUUACACCCUUCACAUCUCAUCUCCAGAACUACACGCCAUCACACUCUGCUUGACAAGCAGAAUCCAUCCCUAAAAUUAAAACAUUCCUGACCUAUCUGCGAUGACAAGGCAAGUGAGCUUCACAGCGCUGCGGCCCAUGAAGGGAGCUGACACAUUUGUUUUUAAUUUCAAAAGAGUAGAAAGUGAAGAUCUGACCCCGUCAAUCAGGCCUCGUGACAAGUUUAAUCAUUGCUGCCCCACAAAAAUCACGGCUAAAUAGGAAUGCAAAUAAUGUAUCAGAGGGCUCUUAUAAAUGCUAAUCAAGGAGAAGUAAUCAACUGACAAUUUCACUGAUCUCCUUUCUGAAGGAGUCAGUCAACGCACUGUCUCUGGACCACAAAGAGAAGAAAAGACAAAAGGCAUAGAUGCCGUUUCCCAAAAAAAGUCCUUUUUCAGGGUUUUUUUUCCUUAAAAAAAGAAAGAAAAAAAAAAAAAAAGAAAGAGAACUCACUCUUUUUGAUCCUUCUCCAAACUUUAAAGUGAAGCUGUUUCUCAGGAACUUACAGUUACAUGUCAAGUGUACUUUAUUAACAGUACCCUAUAAGUGUAAAGGAAGCUCACGGAAACUUCUACUAAAAUAAAAAUCAUCAUUUGUCUUUGUCAUUAAUCCAGCUUCAAAUUCUCUCACAUCUUAAAGGAUCCUGUCCUUGUCCAUGGGCAAUGCGUAUAGCAAUAUGUGGAGUUUUAAAAGUAGAAAGCUAAUAGUGGGGAUCACAAUGUUUUAACUUUCUGCUUCCUCCUCCCCUCCCCCGCCCCCAACUUCUGUUUUGAACUUCUGAUAAAAAGGCUAUCUUAAAAGGGAACAAAAAGAACAGGAGUACUUGUGGCAUCUUAGAGACUAACAAAUUUAUUAUUGCUGCCACAAAGUUCUAAAUCAUAAGAGCCUUCUCUUUUAUGAACAUUUAAAUGUGGGUAAGGAACAUAGGGUAUAUGCUUAUGGCACACUUUCAAACAGAAACUCCGCAUAGCAGCAAAUAGUAAUCACUUCAUUUCCUCCUUCCCCUCCACCUCUCAUCCUACCUCCGGGAGACAAUACAAAAGAACCUGAGACAGUAGGAUUUACAGGGUUUUCUGUGCUAUUAACUUUUAUUAUUUGUAUUGUGGUAGCUCCUAAAGGUACCAUCAAGCAUCAGAAUCCCCUUGUGCUGGGCACUACUGUACACACUUAUAACAAAAGGCCACUCCCUGUCCCAUUAAGCUUAGAGCAGAGGGAGCUAAGCAGUACACUGCAGUCUAGACAAACAGCACAUGACAAACUCCUGUGUCUGUCCUGCUUUGAAAUGGGACUAGAUUAACGUGCAUGAGGGAACUUUUAGUGCACAGUAGCAUGGUCCACACAGACAGCGCAUGACACCUUAGUGUGAGGUAGAUAUACAGCCCAGCUUGUCAUGCACCAACUGUUCAUCAAGACAAGCCCAGAGUGUUGCCAGAAGUUGAGCUCUAAAGAAUCAAGUUAAGUUGUCUAGAGGUUUUUGUUAUUACGCUACUUUAUUACAUUGACACAAUAGAUCAAAUGCAACAAGUAUUUGAGGAUACAACCAACACCUUCAGUAGAAACCAAUAUUAAAAUUGUAGAGUGGCUAGAGCUGGGGGUAUAGAUUACCAGAGGGUUUUUAUUUGUUUGUUAUUUUUCAAUUUUUGUUUGAUGCUGGAUUUGGCAGCCCAUGGGAAUUAUAUAGAGAACAGAGACAGCAGCAGUGCUGUUUCUCCAAUCCAGACCUUGCCAGUGUGUCUCAGUCCUGAUUUGGGCAGCACCUCUCAAUAUCAAAGGAUAGCUCAGUCUCUGCAGCCCAUUCAAUCUGGUUUCUUUUGCUAAGGGCUACCAGUAAGGGGGAUUUGAACUUGUAACAGCAGUCCCUGUAUUCCAUGACCAAUGCCCUGAGGCAUCUAACCUCUAAGCAUGGGGGUUAUCUGGAUGUCUAUUAGACCUCAGUGAAAAAAGCUGGUGACCAACAGAAGAGAUGAUUUCAACAGCACGACUCUCUUUAAAGGAGGUGUUUGGAAGAUGGAAGUAGAAAACAAAAGUAGAAAUUGAAAAACACUUUGCUGCUGUCGUGUCACUUAGCAACAAACCUUUCUCCUGCACAGUAGCAUUGGCACAGCGGAGUGACUGCACAAGGUGCACUAGUGAAACCUGGGGAUAAACACAGAUUGUGGGAAGGAAAGAAAAAUGAACUCAUACACCAGCUGAUUAUACUAAGCUUUCAUUCUAAGUUUAGAUUCUUACAUGGCAAGCGCCGUAGGGCUAAGCCUUGGUGCCCCCUAUUGAUUAUGGCUUUCGGGCACUACUGCAAUGUAAAUUAUAAAGACACUUUUUUGGGGAAAACAAAAGUUUAGUAUUAUCUCCUAGAAGAUGAGCCAUUCUUUCUGUUUCCAUUGCCACUCCCCAGUCCCUUUCUAACACCUCGCUCUGAGAUUCUCAGUCUCCUGCUUGCUCUCUCUCCCUUUGGUUGUUGGACUUCCUUCUGCAGAAAUAUACCCCAUUCUUCCAAGUCGGCCAGAUAGUUGAUAAUGGAGUGUGGCUCCUUCUAGCUCUACUACAUGAGUGCUGAGCAGGAAGAAAAGAAGUUGUGUUUAGUUCCACUAUGUGGAAGAGAUGGCAGGGUCUUGCUUGAAAGUAAUGUACUUGCUCCCUGCAAGGUACAGUAGUUGGUAGAAUACUCUGUACCAGAAAGAGGGACACCUAUCAGGUCACCUUUGAAGGGAUGAACAGGGAGAGAAAUGAGGCUCCUGUCCAUUAAACUAGAUUACUCUCCUCCUUGCCCUCACAUGGGGUGAGAGCGCCACUGUGAUGAGCUUCAAAGUGGUAAAGAUCUGAAGUUGAUCCCAUCACACUGUAUGCCAAGAGACUUGUUGGAGGGCUGGUCAUCAUGGGGCACAAGAGGACCCUACUCUCCAUGGAUUCAAAAUGUCAUUAAGCUGAUAGAGAAUCUUUAACGUGGGAAGGAGUGAAACUGCAGGGACAGGUUUGAGAGUGUAAAGCACUGCAAAGAAUAUGAAAUACCACACAAAUAUAGCAUCAGUCUGUGCUAAAUAAAUAACAUGCCUUACUGAACAGCCAUGCAGUGUUGCUUAUUGUACAAUUAUAAAUCAUUCAAAUGGGAAGGAAAAAUCAGAAUCCAUCACUGUGGGCUUGUGUUCCUCUCUCUCUUGUUGCAAUUACUAAAAGUGAUUAUUGUAUGUGGAACUGUUUUAAAUGCAUUUAUAGAGAUCUGGGCAUGACCUAAUGGUCUGAGCACAUGAUCAGGAACUCCUGAGUUUUAUUUCCUUUACGGCCUUAGGAAAGUCAGUUAGGCCAAAGUAGAUACUAUUCCAGUAUGCCUUAAUUUUUGGGUAUACAAACUGCAGGCCUGAUUUUUAGAGGUGCUGAACAUGUACAGUACACAUUGACUUUUGCUGGGGAUGUUGGUGCUUAAUGCCUCUGAAUAUACUAGUACAUAAUUGGUGGCAAACAAAUGUUAAAACUAAGCAGCUAAUCAAAUACACACUCUCCCGCUGAGCGUGCAUGUAUACACACACACAUAUGCACACACACAUAUUCAAGUCUCCACAAUGAAUUCUAAAUAAACCUUGCCCAACAGAGAAGAAUCUCUAGUUUCUACUACUGAAAUUUCAUGUUAGCAGCUGCUAAGUAGCAAAGAAAGAUAACCUUGGUGAUCAGGCCAGAGAACACAUCCAGUGCUUUUAAGUAGGUUUCCCUGGAGGAAAAACAACAGGAAGCUGCUUGAGCAGCCUAGCAUCAGAGUGCUGCCAUCCCACUGCUGGCUAGUAUUGGCAUUGUGAGGAUUCAGGGAGCAAACUUUAGUGAAGCUUUUGCUGCCCACUGUGGUGAGAAGAGGCCUAAAGAAAAGUGGAGAACGUGAAUGGGAUUUUGGAACAAAUGGGACUCAAUAGUAUUGAUUCAUAGCAGCAUUCAGAUUUUAUGGCGAUAGACGUGAUAAAAAUUCCAAGCCCAUUUGGGAUCAGUUCAUAUUGCGGAUUGUUCUUGUAAUGAAUUUAGGCAGAUAACCUGGCACACCACAACUGUAGGCCAUAUUUAGUCUUGUACUAUAGUGUAAAGCAAGAAAGCAGAAUUGGAAGCAAAUUCUUUCUAAUAUUCAAAUAAUUACACUUGAUAUUCAUUGUUAACGUCUGCCAGUCUCAAUUCUUCCCUCAGCAUGUAUGCACAGCUCCCAUUAAAGCUAAUGGUGAAUUACUGGGCUCGGGGUCGUAAAUGACCGAAUAAUUCACCAUUGGUUUUAAUGGGAGUUGUGCAUAUAUACUGAGAGGAGAAUUGAAAUCGUCAGACUUUAUAUAUAAUCCGCACUUGGUAUUCAUUGUUAAAGUCUUGCCGUUGCUUUGGAAUAUUUUGGUAGCCUAUGCUAGGGACCAGCAGAGCUCCUUUACAAUAGUGCCAUCCAUUAGAUGUAAUGAUGACCAAAGCUAAAUAAACAUCAGAGCAAACCUUUUUGUAAAUUUCAGCCUCUAAGAGACUGAUUUAAGAGAUGUAAAUGGGACUUGCACAAUUCAUCACAAAACAGGGAGUCUAAUUAUUUGUAUCAAACUCUCUUCUUUACUCAGAUAUUUUAAUGCCUAAUGGGGAAAAGUCAAUUCUACUACAAAAAAUAAAUUCAGUAUAGUCCAUAAGCCCAUGUGAAAAAAUAAUUAUCAAUAUUAUUAGCUUAUAUAAAAUAUACAUACAUAUGUGUAUGUUACAAUUUAUUAAAUAUAUGUGACAAAUAAAAUAUAAAAUAUGGCAUGACUCACUAUAUUUAUUGCAUCAUAUAAUUUUAAAAUAUCAUAGGAAAUUGGGCAAUUUUGUAUUAUUCUUAUAAAUGUACUUAUAAAACCUAAUAUCGAGAGGAAUGGUCUUGUAGCUAAGGUACUGAAAUGGUGAGAUUCAAGCAAUCUGGGGUGAAAUCCUGGCACCUUUGAAGUCAAUGGGAGUAUUGCUUCUGACUUCAAUAGGAACAAGAUUUCACCCCUGAGUUCUACUCCCAAUUCUGCUAUGCACUUUGUGGCUACACACUACCAAAUCACUUAAUCUCUCUGUGCCUGAUCCCUGAUUGUAAAAUGGGGAGACUACUACUUUUAUCCAUACUUUGGCUGUCUCAUCUAUUUAGACUGUAAAGUUUCUGGGCAGGGACUGUCUCCUAUGAUGUGUCUGUACAGCACCUAGCACAAUGAAGCCUGAUCCUGAUUUUUGGCCACAAAGUGCUACUGUAAUAUACAUGUAUAACUGAAGAUAUUUUCCAUAGGACAAUAUAGGAGAUCCUUUAUGGAAAGGAUCCUUUGCGGCAGUCUUACUCUAAUCUUUAAUUUGGAAUAAAGAAAUCAACAGUGAAGAAUUCAACCCCCUAUUAUCCUAUUGAAAAUAAAUAAUUUUAAAUUGAUUCACCAUGAAAAGCUACUCCUAAAUAAAAGUUUGAGGGUUGCAUAUAGGAGAUUUCAAGAGAGUGUGCAAUGGAGGAAUGUUAUCUUAUCCUGAAAUAAAAAUAAAUUAGGAAAAAGCAAAUGUGGUGAAAAAUAAUCUCUACACUUCCUAAAACCAUAUACAGCAAAUGUUUUUCAUUAUUUUUCUCUCAUACUGAACUUUAAAAGCUACAAAUUUAUCUACAAGGUCUGGAGUCACUCUUCAAAAAGGUCUGCCUAGUGUCAUUCAAUCUCUACUGAAUUCCAUGGUACCUGGCAGUGAAUGAUUUUAGUGAGGACUUCAAAGAUCAUGUUUUCUCAAUAAGUAACAUAUUUCCUUCUAUCGAACUCCAAAGGAAACUGAUCAAUCUAAUCUCUAUAGAUUUAAAUCAAAAAUAGUCCAUGAUAACAGUGUGUCAUAAACCAAUACUUCUUUGUCAACAGGAUACACCGAAAGCAAUGCCUCAGUCUUUUUGUUGUUGUUUUUACUUAAGCUGAUAAGAAAGUUAGUCCUGUAGUUGAUUAAGUUCUUCAGAAAUUGGGCUUGUGAUGAAUCAUUAAACAAAGACAUUUUUUUCCACAGCAAUAAAGCCUCAAAUGAUUAAUUAAGGGCACAAUGCCAAAACCAGUGUCUUUGUUUAAAACGCAGUGGACAAGACAGGCUUGGGAAAGUUGAUGUCUUAAGUAGACGCCACAACAUGUUUUUAAUUAUGUUCAGGAAGAAGAACAAGAAUGGGAAUUGCCAACUGUUUGGAAAGAUCUUCUUUUUUUUUUUUUUGAAGAAAGAUUAGAAUAAAAAAAAUCAAACAGAGCAUUAUUGAUUUAACACAAAUGCCAUUUGUUGGGCCUUUUGUAAUUUCCUUAUUAGUGUCAUCAUUCUGGAGUUCAUAUGCUCCCUUCUGUUAUAGCAUUUGGCACACAUUCAGCUCCCAGCAAUAUGAUACAGUAAACAUGCAGUGACUGCUCAUAUUAAAAUGUUUUAUUUCUUGUAACUGUACCAAUGAUCAGGCAGUAUAUGUCCUAAAUUAUCCCAACCAUUUCACAAGCUAAUUUGAAAGGAAGUAGCAAGUGACCAUCUCUGCAAAACAGACACACACAGGUUGAAAAGUGCAGAGCCAGUGCUGUCAGUUGGAAACAAAACAAAAAGUUCACGCAACAUCAGUUCUCCACAGCUUCUUGUCAGUUGCGUUCAGACUGUUCAAAUAGAAGACAUAAGCUGGAAUCAAGAGCUGUGCAGUAUGAUAGAUUGUUGUACUGACACCCGUUUUCAUGUGUUACUUCAUGUUUAUGGUGCAAUAUACCCCCGCCCCUGCAUCCUCAAUUUGUUUGGGAACUCAACUUUUCUAAAGCCCUCCAUUUUGUGGAAGCUGUAGAAGUGGCUACCUCAAGCCUGUUCUGAAAUCCCAAAACACAAAUGUAAGAAGUGAUUUUGCUUGCAUCAGUAUUUGCGUGUGAAUUUAGGAUGCUCCAAAUGGGCCUGAUUUUUAGAGGACAAAUACUCAGAACUUUCUGAAAAGGAGACACUCCCAAAUAUAAACUAAAUCAGAUAACAAGAAUAUGAACAAUAGGGAUUUACAGUUCUAUAGCACCUUUCAUCCCACAAGAUGCCAAAGAGCUUUGGAAAUUCUGGGCCUUAAAACCUGCAAAUGCUUGUUCCUGCAGCUGCCUUUCUCCUUUAUGUGUGCAACUGCUGCCACUGUGCUUGCAAACGGCCAAUUAAACAGGGAGGAAGCGAUAGUUAUCAUGCUAAAAGUCCUGGGCAUAAUUUCUUUUUCCCGCUGACUGAUGUCAAAUGUGGCAGAGGCUUUACUAACAUGAAGUUCAGUUACUUCAUAAGGGUCUUGUUCUGCCCUUUACCUUUAUGUAAACCUCCCAAUGUCAUCAGUGGUGGUUGCUGUGAACCAAGGCUAGCAUAUGACCCUAAUUAUGUAGCACCAGCCCAUGGAUCAUAAUUAAAAAUGUAAUUUGGCCCUC